rnacentral:lncRNA from 1 species
CUACAUCUGAAUUGUUGUUUGGUGUAGAGAAAAAAAAAAAUCCUCCAGAUACCUAUUCACAUUCAUCUUCCUCACCUAAUCAAGCCAUAAACCACCUAGCUCAUUCAAUUUCAGUGAACCAAGAAAUCUCUUCAUUGAAAGGCAACGCUACAAUGAUGUUAUUCGUUUCAGUAUAACACUCCGUCACAAGGUAUGUCUCAAUCUCUCUGUGCUUAGAUUAUACUCCAUUUGAUUUGAUAUUUCCUUAAAUAUAUAAUUUCUUUUUUGUCUUUUCACUCUAACCCCCAUCUUAAUUCAUUUGAUUUUUGGUGUUAAUGAUUUAUUGUGAUUUCUGAUUCUUUUAAGCUCUUGGUAGCAAAUCUCUCCUCUUACUCUCCAUCAAAGUAGGCUUUGUUCGAUUUCUUAUUUCUGUAAAAAUUGGUCUGCCCACUUAUCUAUAUAAUUAAAUGCAGAAUUAUUAAUCAUUCGUGGCUUUUUCUUAUAUCUAUUCUCUUAAACUAUAGGAAUACGAUUACAUUAUUAAUUCCAUCAUGAUACUCGAUUCUAUUUUAUUUAUUAGUCUAUUAUGAUACUCAUUCACUAUUCUAUUCCAACAAUAAUAAUAAAAAGAACUUUAUUCCAUUAUAAUUCAUGAUCACCGAAUCUAUGGUUGUGAUUCUCAAUCCAAUUUCAACUAAAUAAUGAUUAAUUCAACCAAGCUCAACCGAUUUUCCAUUCCAGUUCAAAAAAUUCACGAUCUAAUCAAUCUAGUUCCAACUAUGACCUAGUAACAAACUUAUGUUUGUUUCAAUUCUUUAACACCAAAUUCAAUACUAAGAUUUAAGUUGAUGAACAAUUGCCAUAUGUAAACUUUGCCCAAUUAUAUUUCAAUUCUUAGUGUUAGUUUAACGUUAAUUAAAUUCUAUUCUAUAGGUCAUAUAUUAUACAUAUAACCGUAAGUUUUACCGGUAAACUCCUAAAAAACUCCUUAACAAUCCUUUCCCAUCCCCUUCUUUACAAAUACCCAAAAAUGAUUCUUUUAAAAAAAUUGAUUAAAUUAUGAAAUCAAAUUAACCAACCUAAUCGAUUGAAUCAGUUUUAAACCAAAAAAAAAAAAAAACCAAGCUCCGAUGAUUGGAUCUUCCACCUGCCUUUCUUUUAACCAUGACAGAGAACAUUUAAAUUACUGAAAAUUAUGACAUUGAUUUUUUUUUAAAAUUUUAGCUUAUUCUAAUACAAAGCAUACAAAGAUAAAAUUAAACAGUGAUAACGUUCAUCCAUAAUUGCACGACCAACACUGACCUCAAACAAAUCCCCCACUCUAGUAAUGAAAAACACGUCAUGGUGUUUUUCUAGUACGACAGAUAAGGGUGAAAGUACAAUCAUCUCCUUGGUUUAUUAUUAUGACAAGCUAUCAUCAAUUCCUUAAAAUGUUCAAUGUUUUUCAUCAGAUUGAAAUUGGGUCUCAUAAAAUUUACUAACCUUAGAACAGGGGCAAGCUUGGUGGGAACCGCACAUGC